rnacentral:RNase_P_RNA from 1 species
GAGGCUUACCGGACGGUCGCUGGGGCGAUUGCCUCAGAGGAAAGUCCGAACACCAAAGGGCAGCGAGCCGGAUAACGUCCGGGCGUUUUGACAGGUCAGGUCUCAGAUCUGAUAUUUCAGGACGACGACAAGUGCAACAGAAAGUAUUCCUGCCGGAAGAUUUGGAAUUUCAGAUUUGAGGUUUCUCAGAUCGCGUGCCUAGCACGAUCCGGUGAUGGGUGAAACGGUGAGGUAAGGGCUCACCGGCAUCGGUGGUAACACUCGAUGGCCAGGUAAACUCCUCGUGGUGCAAGACCAAAUAGGGAAACGCGAUCGGGCUGCCCGUCCCGGCGUCGGCUUUGGCGGACAGCGUCUCCGGGUAGGUUGCUCGAGCCGUUCGGUAACGGACGGCCUAGAUGAAUGACCGUCACCGUGUGGUUCGUGUUCGAAAGGGCGCGGACUUUCGGAACAGGAUUCGGCUUAUAGGUAAGCCUCAUAG